rnacentral:rRNA from 1 species
CCCUACGGGGUGCAGCAGGCAAAAGAACGCCCAAGAAGAACAUCAGCGCCAUGAUGAUCCCCUAUGGCGAUGUCUAUGUGGCACAGAUAGCUUUUGGCGCAAACCCCGCUCAAGCAGUGAAAGCCUUCUGUGAAGCGGAGGAAUUUGAUGGUCCUUCACUGAUUGUUGCGUAUGCGACAUGUAUAGGCCAUGGAAUAGAAGAUAUGUCAAAGGCUGUUGACUAUCAGCGAAAAGCAGUUGCCGCCGGCCAUUGGCCCUUGUUCCGCUACAAUCCAAAACGUGAGGCUGAAGGGAAGAAUCCCCUGGUUAUUGACAGCAAUGAUCCAACGAUUCCAUGUACCGAGUACGCAAACAUGGAAAAUCGUUUUCAAUCGCUCACGAGAGGGAAUCCGGAAGUCGCAAAGGAAUUGGCGGGGGAGC